rnacentral:rRNA from 1 species
GUGGGGAAUAUUGGACAAUGGGGGGAACCCUGAUCCAGCCAUGCUGCGUGUGUGAAGAAGGCCUUUUGGUUGUAAAGCACUUUAAGCGAGGAGGAGGCUACCGAGAUUAAUACUCUUGGAUAGUGGACGUUACUCGCAGAAUAAGCACCGGCUAACUCUGUGCCAGCAGCCGCGGUAAUACAGAGGGUGCAAGCGUUAAUCGGAUUUACUGGGCGUAAAGCGCGCGUAGGUGGCCAAUUAAGUCAAAUGUGAAAUCCCCGAGCUUAACUUGGGAAUUGAAUUCGUAACGGGUUGGCUAGAGUAUGGGAGGGGAUGGUAGAAUUCCAGGUGUAGCGGUGAAAUGCGUAGAGAUCUGGAGGAAUACCGAUGGCGAAGGCAGCCAUCUGGCCUAAUACUGACACUGAGGUGCGAAAGAAUGGGGAGCAAACAGAAUUAGAUACCCAGUAGUCC